AGUGAUUCAACCGCGCCACCGAGCGCGGAGCUGCCCUGGAGGACGCAGGCGGGUCUAGUUGCCCGGGUCCCCCAAGGCCCCCGGAUUCACCCAGGCCCGCGACUCCGACGUGCAGCUUAGGUGGGUUGCAGGUCUAUGGCAGGAAAGGGAGGGCGCCUUGGAAGAAUUCUUCCCUUCCAUUUGGUGAUAAAGUGGGAGAGGCGGCAUUUACAACAUUUAAUAGAAAGCACGGGCUCUGGGCUCCCCUCGGGCAGCGGAGGGCAUUUCCCGGAUGCUUUGCCCACCUGGGGCAGAAGCUCGGGACCUGCAGCGAAGUAAACGUGUGGCUGUGAGCAGGGCCCUCUCCCAGCCACGGUGGCUUCUUCUACCCCACGAAGGUCAAGAAUACCUGGCCUGCCCACCUCGCGGGGCCCUUAGCGGGUCGCACAGGAGAAAGGCGGUGGGAAUGCCGGUGUCAGCCACGGUGUGACCGGCUCGGCUCACAGGUCUGAGGGUCAGUUGGCUCAGGCAUCGCCCGGUACGACCAGAGAUAGUGACUGAGGAAGAGCAGCCUCACAUCUGGCAGUUUGCCUCUGGGAGAAUUCCAGCGUGACAUCUGCAGCUCUGUGGUUCCAGAAAGGAUGGUUCCCACAUUGAAGAAGACAUCUGUGGGACUGAGUUCCACCGAAAUGCAGAGGAACCAAAAAUGAAAAUGAAAAAUGUAACCAGAGUUGUGUGCCACUAGUUUUAAGCUUUGGUUUUUCUAAAUUAUUUUCUGGCUUCUCCUUCUGGGCUUUGCUGUAAACUUGCCAAGCAUGAGAACAACUCUUCAUCUAUUGAGUGGCAUUUUAAGCCAUCCUGUCAAAGUAUCUCCUGUCAUUUUUAUUAUUAUUACUCUAUAUUGCCUGCAAGACACGACUGGAGAAUUCUUAGUGUAAGAAUUGUUUGUUUCCUCUCUCCUUCUUUCCCACGUUUUCCCAGGGAAGUCAGUCUUGCAUUUUAAUGCAUACUAUAUACAUAUCUCGUUUAGCUUACUGAACCACUUGUUUUAACAGAAUAAAACUGUGCAAAAUUUUAAUUUUCCUCCUUUGCCUGAACUGAAAUAGCACAUCCAGGUUUAGCCCUUGUAGACUUUCCUUCCUCGAAGCAGAAAGUUGCCCUUGAUGAUUUCCUCUUUGAGCUCUCUGCCAGCUCUGAAACCCACAAAAUUUAUGUUUGCAAAACUAAGCCAUGCAAUCCUCUUUUUAUGCAGGCUCUAGCCUGAGUCAUUUUCCCUAAGAGAUCUUCAGCUCCACCUGGGAUGUGAUUCUUUGCUCUCUGGGAUUGAAGGUAGCUGAAGAGAAAUAGUUACACUUCAGGAUGUCAGAGGAUGGGAGAACCUCACAGACAUUCUUUUAUGGAUGAGAACCCUGUGGCCAGCUGAUCUGAGUAAACUGGCUUGCCUAACCACACAGUGCAGAUCUGGUCUUCUGACCCCGGGGGCUUUCCUUCCAUCACCAGGCUUUCUCCUACUCCCAAUGAAGGAAAGUAAGACUGGGUGGUAAAUCCAUCAAAUGAAUGAUUAAUUAAUCCAUCCAUAAGCACUCAAAAAUGUUCUGCAUGUACACAAAGUGCAGAAAAGUGCAAAACUGCACAAAAACUGCACACAAAGUAUAGAAAAUACUUUGCAGUUUGGGGAACUCAUUGUUCUUAGGCAGAAAUAUCCUGAUGGUUAGUCCUUGAAAUAGACAGACAAGGAGACACGUAGAAGAGUUUGAAUUCCCUUUGCAUAACCAGUGAUGAAAUGUGGUUGAUGAGAAGUCUGAAAAUAACUGCGGAGAUGUUUCAGCCCUUCCACUGUACUUUUAUAGUACUUGCUGCCAAUUUUACCGACUCAUUUUCAUUGAGAACUUCACUUAAUCUCACUUGUGUGUUUACCUGUUAAUCUUUCCUGUUGGAUUGGGUUUUUUGUCUGUUUUUUUCCUCUCUCAACCCUUUCCACAAUUAUCAGCACAUAAUAGGCACUUAAUACCUUUUGAGUCAAUGAAUACUUUAUAAAACUAUGAGUGCAACCAAAUAUUUCACUGGUGUUCAAGAGAUGAAAUCUGUCACUGAAAACUCUUUCUAGGGGCCAGGCAGUGAGUGUUUCAUGAUGCUGAGAUUGGUAAGAAAAUACAAAUCCAUCAUGACUGGAAAGGCACCACUCGACCGCAAGUUCUAGCAGUCUAACCAGUGAUUAGCUAUCUCUGCACCACCAGAAAAUCUCACCAGGAGGAGAGAUAGCUGAGAAGCAGAAACCAGAUACAGAAGUUUGGAAACUAGCUAGCAUUUUUUUAAAAGACUGGAUUCUACGAUGAUUCAGAAUAUACUUCAUCAUGCGAUGAGGUUGUUGAUAGUUUUCCUUGCAUACAGAGGCUGAAUAACUUUUUAAAACAAAUUCCUCAAAAUGUUUAUUUCCCAGGAAAGAGAUAGGUUAAGAUACAUGAUAGCAAGUAAAAUUGAGAAUAAUUCAGAGAAACUUAUUUUAUGCAUAUGAAAUGGUAAAAAGAGCAAUGAAACCAUUACCCAAAAUUCAGGUAAAAGGCAAAGUAUGAGAAAAGGCCAGAGGGAAUUAGGAGUUAGUAGGAACACAGAGUUCUGGAGGAAAAGGAAAAAAGUGACUCAGCAGAACCUAAGAAACAUCUGGCUGGGUAUAGUUAGUCAUGGAAAAAUUGGCAGUCAUGAUUAUGCAUUUUGUGAAAAUAGCAAUAUACUAGUCCAACAGUUCAUUUAGACCAAAAUUAAACAGUUGAAAGUCAGUAUGAUAAAAUCUAUUAUCCUGGUCAUUCAAAAUACUUCUAUCAACUGUCUAGAACAGCUUACAAGAAGCUUUGCUAAAUGAGUUAUCACAUAGCACCAGUAUUCUGAAAAAUGUAACUUUAGAGAAAAACCUUCCAAUUCAAGUCUUAGACUGGGAUUGGUAUUUUCAGCAGACAUCUAUUUUUAUAAACGUAAAGCUUAUCAAACUACCUUUCAACUUUCAUUUUGAUGAACAGUAAAUAUUAUUUUAUUAUCUACAUACAAUGGUGACAAAAUAGAUAAAUAAUAAAUAUGAAUUGUGGGUAUUAUUUUAGUAACAAAAAGUCAUUUAAAAUGAAAACCCUUAACCUAUGUUCUUAUUAAUAUAAUAUUUAUGUGAUUUAAAAUUUUGUAUAUGGUAUCAUUUACUUAAGCAUCUCUUAAUUCCUCAUUUCUGUAACUCUUUAUACCUGACAUAUGUACUAAAUUUGAUGAACAGAAAUUCAUUCAUUCAACAAAUGCUUGAAUGUCCACCAGAUACUGGGUUCUUUGCUAGACUCUGGAUGUACAGAGUAAAACAAAGAAGUCCCUUUCCUGUUAAACAUAUCAUCAUUCCUACUUAUGUCCAGAUUUUAUGUUUGUUUGUUUGUUUUUUGAGACAGAGUUUCGCUCUUGUUGCCCCAGGCUGGAGUGCAAUGGCACAAUCUCGGCUCACUGCAACUCCACCUCCCAGGUUCAAAGCAAUUCUCCUGCCUCAGCCUCCUGAGUAACUGGGAUUACAGGCAUGUGCCACCAUGCCCAGCUAAUUUUGUAUUUUUAGUACAUACAGGUUUAUCUAUGUUGGUCAGGCUGGUCUCAAACUCCCGACCUCAGGUGAUCCGCCUGCCUCUGCCCCCCAAAGUGCCGGGAUUACAGGUGUGAACCACCAUGCCCGGCAGAUUUUAUGGUUUGAAUGAUUUUCUGUCAGCAUUUGAAUUGGAUAUAAAACAAUCUUAACAGUGUUGUUUAUUUACAAAUUUCAUUCUGUCCUCCCCCCAAAAAGAUUUAGGUGUGUCAUGAUCAGUUCAUCAAAUAGGUAUCUUUAACUCAGAAAAUGACUUACAGGUUUAAAAUAUACAUUCUCUAUCAGUUUGAACGUAUUGAUGAACUCUCAAAGUUUUGAAUAUGGAAAAAAUAUAUGAAGCUCAACAAGAAAGACAGCUUUAUAAAAAGGCAAGUCUAGCAGAAAAGAUAACCAAGUAGGAGGAGAUUCCUCACGUAAGGAAAAAAACAAGUAAAAUAAUCAGCUUAAAAGCAUGUGUGCAAGAUAUUUCAUUGUUAUUUUUAUGUUUGUUUGUUGACAUUUUAUAGCCUAGUUAACAGAUGCUCCAAAUUUUGAGCCUGUAACCCUUCCAAUCCCUUGCUGCCUUUGAUGGUGAUGCUCCAUCCUAUUAUACCAACUCCACAUUGAAGCAGAACUCUCAAGACAGAGAUGGGGAGGGAUGGAUGGGCUGUGAGGCCCCCCAGCCAAGAAGCUGGAAGAACUUUCUCGAAUCCUGCAGAGCUGCUCAGGGGCCUGCCUUGUAUCUGCCUGGCUGUUCCAGGGAGGUUGGAAGACAAACUGAAGGCUUUCCAUUGCUGAACAUCAGACCUCAGAAGUACUGACUGGAGGGCUCCCAAGCUGGCUCAGAUCAGCCUCAUAUUGCCCCGAACAGUAUCAUCACCGCUUUGCCCUGGUGGGGAAACUACUCUUUACCCUCUGUAUGAACCUAUGAAGCACGCAGGUCACUGGGGCAAUUUCUGAGUUUGAAGUUGCUUGGAUUUGCCAUUGCUGCUAUGUUGAAGGGAAGGGAGUGCUUUUGAAGAAAAUGUUCAUCUCUAGUUCCAGUAACAGGCAUGGAAUUGACACAUAACAGGUGUUUGUUGAAUUGAGCUGAAUAAAUUAGAAUCUGGGGCAAAAUAUAGUUGUUCUUUAUAGUCCUAAGUCUAUUAAUAAAGCAGAUAUAUCCUUAUUACAUGUUUUACUGCCAUAAAUGUGUCUACCAGAACUAGGAAUAAUGACAGACGGAAGGGUUGAGGAUUCUUUCUGACGAUAACCUGCCAGGACACCCGCUUCCUCCCUCCCUGUCCAGAUGGGGUGGACUACAGUGCUCUGGCUCACACCAGGGGUGGAGGUAUUCCCAUUAUUUGUCUGUUUUGUUGUCUGUAGUGCUUAGUCAGAAUGCUGCCUGAUACAUUGCAGGGGUUCAAUGACUUUCUGUGGAAUGAAUGAACAGACAGAUGGUUACUUACCCCAGGGACAUAAGAGCCUCACAUAGCUGCAGCGUGAGCAGUGCCCUCUGCAGUCCUGGACCCAGAUGCAUAGAGGCCGAGAUGUUCAGCCUUCCACCCCAUGGCCAUCCCGGAGCCUGGGGCUGACUCUGUCUGGUUUGGCUGCU
rnacentral:lncRNA from 1 species